rnacentral:rRNA from 1 species
GACGAACGCUGGCGGUGGGCUUAACACAUGCAAGUCGAACGGCAAGGCCCUGCGUGUGUGGUCUGCCGGAGUGCCGAACGGGGGAGUAGCACGUGAGUAACCUGCCCUUGUCUUUGGGAUAACUUCAGGAAACUGGGGCUAAUACCGGAUAGCAGCCCCCCCUGCAUGGAGGGGGUUGGAAAGUUUCGGCGGUCGGGGAUGGACUCGCGGCUGAUCAGCUUGUUGGUGGGGUAGUGGCUGCCCAAGGCUUUGACCGAUAGCCGGCAGGAGAGGGUGGCCGGGCACCAUGGGCCUGCGGGACGGAGCAGACUCCAACGGGAGGCAACGGUGGCGAGCCUUGCCCAGUGGGACCGCGCCUGAUGAGGAGGCGCCGCGGUCGUAAAGCCGGCUUUCGGGUUGUGAACAGCAUCAGGUUGUGACGAAGCGUUUGUGACGGUAAUGGAUGAAGAAGCACCGGCUAACUACGUG